CACGUAGGGGGCGAGCGUUGUCCGGAUUUAUUGGGCGUAAAGAGCUCGUAGGCGGCUCGGUAAGUCGGGUGUGAAACCUCCAGGCUCAACCUGGAGACGCCACCUGAUACUGCUGUGGCUAGAGUCCGGUAGGGGAGUGUGGAACUCCUGGUGUAGCGGUGAAAUGCGCAGAUAUCAGGAAGAACACCAGCGGUGUAGACGG
rnacentral:rRNA from 1 species